AACGAACGCUGGCGGCGCGCCUAAUACAUGCAAGUCGAGCGAGAAGACGUAGCAAUACGUUUGUAAAGCGGCGAACGGGUGAGGAAUACAUGGGUAACCUACCCUCGAGUGGGGAAUAACUAGCCGAAAGGUUAGCUAAUACCGCGUACGCUCCUUGGACUUCGGUUCAGGGAGGAAAGCGAUACCGUGGGUAUCGCGCUCUUGGAUGGGCUCAUGUCCUAUCAGCUUGUUGGUGAGGUAACGGCUCACCAAGGCUUCGACGGGUAGCUGGUCUGAGAGGACGAUCAGCCACACUGGCACUGCGACACGGGCCAGACUCC
rnacentral:rRNA from 1 species